CAGAAAUUCAAUUUAUUUAAUACUAUUGAAAGCUCCAAAUACUACUAUUUUAAUUAUUUUUCUGAGUGUUUUAUGCACAUAAUUAAUUAACACUCAUUACCUAGCAAUAAUACAUCAAUUUGAUGCAAUAAAAUGAGAGUCGCGAAUGAGCAUCCCCUAAAUUCUGAGCGUCCAGAGCUGGUCAUCGUCUCACGAAGAAAACAAGAAUAGCUCAACAUUCUUUCUGGACAAGUUUAUCCUUGUUCAUUGCGAGAAAAUAUCAUUAUCAAAUUUUCCUUAGGUUUGAAGCAACAGGAAGACACGUAGCUAAAUACACUGUCAAAAAAGAGCCAGCAGUCCUUUAAUCUUCUUCCACCAGAAUUUUUUAUGCUUUCUAAAUCAGUUCUCUCAGAUUCUGAAAGAGAAAGCACAAAGCCAAAUUCUAGUAAAGGUGCAGUCAGAAGCACGUUAUGCUUCUCCCUAUGGAAUCAGAAUUUCUAAAAGUCUCCAUGUUUGAAUCCCUUAUUAUUACUCUGUAUCUAAGACUUCAAGCAGCACAAGUCGGUCACCUACACAACCAAACUCCAAGGCCUUCCCAGGUAAGCCACGUAUAGGCAUAGCAAGUAUCCAAGGGUCCAGGCUUGAACACCUUCAGCUUUUUACCAAAGAACCCGGUUAGGAGGUCAGGAAUAGUUGGUCACCCACAUAAUCCAAUUCUCAUUUGUCAGCUCUGGCCUCAAAUUCCUAUAAAAGCCAGACUUCUUUCUCCCAAUUCCAUCAAACUUAAGUAGUUGCAGGAUAUAUUCACAUUCUACAGGCAUUUCCAGAGACCCAAUGGCACACACACAAAUGGCAACGAGUUUGGCUUUGAUCCUAGUGAGCGUGCUAUGGGCAGGAGCUAUGGCACAGUCUAGUUGUACAAAUGUCUUAAUAAGCAUGUCACCAUGCCUGAAUUACAUCACAGGGAACAGCUCAACUCCAUCUUCACAGUGCUGCACACAGCUUUCCAGUGUCGUUCGCUCUUCACCCCAGUGCUUGUGUGAGGUUCUAAAUGGUGGUGGCUCAUCACUUGGGAUCAACAUCAACCAGACCCAGGCCCUUGCUUUACCUGGUGCUUGCAAUGUUCAGACUCCACCCACCAGCCGCUGCAACGGUAAGUAAUUCUCUCAUCAAUAUCAGCUUCCUAUGAAUUCAAACCUUCAUGCCAAAAGUCAAAACUGGUUCCAAGAUUCCGCAGGUGGAUUUCUUAAUGUGAAUUGAGUUUGGAUCAGGGAAGGUUAAAAAUGAAAUUAAGAAGUAAAAUCCCCAUUAACUGGGAAAAGAUCAUUGAACAUUCAAAAUUUCACUACGACUUAAUUCUAAUUGUACUACCUGUAUGUAAACAGCCGCUUCUCCAGCCGCCUCUCCAGCAGGAACACCAGAAGUUCCAAGUACACCUUCAGGUACUGCAUGCUUUCAUAAACUGCAAAUUACAAAUUGCAUGUAGAAUUACAGUAACAGAUUAGUCGUACUCUUUACACAACUAUUGACUAUGAAAACAUCAGAUCUAGCUCACCAAUAAGGUUUUCAAUGCUUCUUUGCCAGUAAGCCAUUGAACGUUUUGCACAAAUUCUUCAUUCUCUUCUCUGGUUUAACUUGUUUGACUUCUUGUAGGAACUGGAUCUAAAACUGUACCAUCAAGAGAAGUAGAUGGAACAUCAAAUGGGAGCUCCACCAAGUUGUCAAUCUCAUUGCUCGCAUUCCUUCUCUUUGCAGCUUCAUAUGUUUCAACCUUCACAACAUACUGAUUUUCUGAUCAGCAAGUCCACCCUUCACUAUUUCCCAAUCUUGCAUAUUCCCAGCUAUUACUGUUUUUAUAAUUUAUUAUUGAUUUCUCUUUGGUUGAUGGUGUAUGUAUUAUUUACUUUUCUUGACCUCAUUUGAGGUUGUAUUACUGGAGAUAUCUACCUCUCUUCCCUUCACAAUAAAAACAUCAUUUCAUGCCUAAGCAUAUCAUUGCCAAAUUCUUAGGAAAUAUCAAGGCAUAAUAUACUACAGAAUAAAGAUGAGCAUGUAAAUGGCCAAAAAUAACAAGCAAAAAUUGCCUAGAAGUUCAUCAAAGCCAUUAAGUUGGCAAACCUUCUACGUACUGAGGUUUAUGCUACUAAUAAAGCAAAAUUUGUUCAUAAUUCAAUACAUUCUCCAUCUUCUGCCAUAAACUUAGAUCAUUAAGCACAGAAAAAUGGAAGGAAGAAAAGCAUUGUCAAAACAGACCUUACACUGAAAAUUUUGUAGUCCAAACACAUGUCACUUCUGCAGAAAACUAAGUAUCGGCUGCAACAAGCCAUUGGCAUUUAAUUGACCAAAAGACAAGCACUCAGUGGCCUGACCAUAGACAUCUCCAUAUAUACAGAACAAGGCAUCCCCAACACUCCACAACGUCGAACGACAUUGUGCAACUCAUAAUUGUCACGAUACAGUUCCAUUUUCAAAUUCAUGAAUGUGAUCGUGAGCGCACAAACUCUUCAAGUCUGUCCCAUACUUCCAAUGCUGCUGCCCUAUCCUGGUGUCUCUUGUUCUUGCUAAUCGAGAUGAUCUUUACAUUCCAUUGCUUCACAGUCUUUGCUGAUUCUACACUGUCAUCUUCAAACCUCAUGAAAAAUCCAAUGAUUUUAUUAAAUAUCUCCACGUGAUCCUUAAACGGCCAAUCCUUGAAUUGCCACUCUUUUCCCAACACGAAAACAGCCACAACCCGGUCCCAAUCCUCAGCCUUGAGCGCAGACGGCUUGUCCCUGACCUCAUAUGCAGUCAUCACCCUAUUCCUAUCAGUACUAAAUUUCUUCUGUACUGUGACACAGUCUGGCUUCGCCCCUUUCAUUUGCUUCACCUUCACAUCCGUAGGUAUAUAAAUUCCAUCCUCCAAAAACUCCUUCACAUUAUAAAUAGUAAUCAAAGUCUGGAACGCACUGGGAACUAAAAUUAUGGGCACUCCUUCCCCAAAUUUGCCUCCUUUCAAAUGCAUUUUGGGCUUGGGUGUCGCAUCAUAACCCAGCUCAUCACCAUAUCCAAUUCCUCUCUCGUCAGCCCCCAUCAAUCUACUCUUAGCCACCAACCCAUCCUUCCUCUGCUGGGAUUCGAUUCUCUGCCUCUCCUCUUCACGCCGAGUAGAGGCCACCAGCACACUAUAAAAAUCUCUGUUCUUGCACUCCAACAACGACUCCCUAUCCUUGAGAGGCCUCUCCAUGGAGUAUAUCAUAGUAAUGGGAUCCUCCUCUUUACCAUUAUCAGCUCCCGCCACAUCAGCAUCAUGAGAAUCGAGGAAAGCGGGGUCGUCGGGUCGGUACUCGUUGGCGAGAUCAGCAUUAGGGUUUUGCUGAUGCUGUUGUUGCUGCUGGGGAAGAGGGUAAACGAUGGAGUCGGUGGAGGAGAGCUUUCCGGUGAGGUAAUCGAAAAGGGGCUUGCGGUCGAUAAAGGUUAUGGGGGUGAGGCCAACGGCACGAGCAUUCUGGAGGUAAUCAGUGAACUUGAGAUUGGCGUUCUGGAUGUAGUAAACCAGAGUUUCGAGGGUGUAGAGAUUGCCGUGCUUAGAGCGAUAAGCAGUCUUUAUAGAGCAAGGGAAGGUGUAAUCGGUUCCGAAACGGAACUCCUCGUUAACUCGGACGAUCUUGUCCACUUCGCCGCGAAUGGUGAAGUCGCGGAGAGCCGAAAGAGGAUCCAUUUAGGAGAAAUUUGGAACCUUGGAGGUUUGGACUAUGGACGGAAACUGAGAAAAAAGGCGCAACGAUAUGAAGUGAUAAAGGUUGAUGACAACGAAGAUUGGGAUUUUGCUGCAGAAGAUUAUGUGAGUAGCCAACAUACUGUUCUG
rnacentral:misc_RNA from 1 species